GGUUUCUCUGUGUAGCCCUGGCUGUCCUGGCACUCACUCUGUAGACCAGGCUGGCCUCAAAUUCAGAGAUCCACCUGCCUCUGCCUCCCGAGUGCUGGGAUUAAAGGUGUGAGCCACCACUGCCC
rnacentral:miRNA from 1 species